ACCAAAAAACAUUUUAAAAUGAAACAUGUUUAAAACAUUUUUAAAGUGUUAGAAAAUAAACCAUUUAAAACCUAAAUGUUAAAUAAAUGUUUUAUAAACAUGUAAAAGUUAACGUCUUUCACUGCGCGCGUCAUAAGCCCGCUGAUGACAAAAUUUUUUAAAACACCUCAAAAUUUUAUUUGCGUACCUUUGCGGCGUAGAUACUGAUAAUCCUCACAAAAAACAUUUUAAAUACUUUGUUAUAUAUUUUCUUAUCACUAGGUUUGAUAUUCUAAAAUCAUUCGCAGUUUAUAAAACAUCUAUGCUACGUAACUAAAUAUUUCCUAUUCUCCUUAAUGCGUGUACUCCCAUGAUUCCACGCGGCGCGAAAUUUUGUCUGCUGCUUACGACACGCGUGCUUUGCUAAAAACAUUGGGUUGUAAAACUAUUAUAUACCGUGUUCUAGUACAACACAGACUUAAUGUAUGCUUUUAGGUGUGAUUUGUCAAACAAAGUUUUCGUUUUGAAUAGUGCGCUCGUACAUAAUUUAAGACGUUAAGGCAACUGAUGUCCAAAUCAUGUCGUACUACUGAACGAAGCGGAGUAAAUAAAAUUGUUGAAGCAGAGUUGGCGGAACAGAAAGAAAAAGACAGAUCCGAUACAAACAAUGGAGUCACACAAAUAUGGCAGCAGACUUGCCACCAAGUAAGGUGACAAAACAUGUGAAGGAGGGAACUCUGCCAGACAGGUGAAUGCACUAACCACCAGAAUAUUGGCAUCAUCACGAGAGCACCCCAUUGAUGCUCUGCAAGGAGAACAAGAAGAGACAAACCUCAAACUGCAGCAGUAGAAGGCAGUAUCCAGGGAGUGUCUAACGCAGAUCAGAAGCCUCUCUUGUGUGGGUGGUACGGAUGCAAAGGAUUGCCUGAAAAGGAUCAUGCGGCGAAUCUUGGCCGACAAGGUUUUAUAACUAAAGGCCAAAGAGGAGAAAAGUGUGCAUUCAAGGGGCUUUCAAAGGUGCAGACCAUGAUAUGCAAAGCCGUACAGAAGAACAAUGGGUGCAUGGAGGCUUCAGAUAAUAUCAUCGAAGAAAGCAGCAGCAGAAAGAGUCGGGGUAGAAAGCAGAGGAGAGAACGAAACUAAAUGCUAGCAUAUUUCAAGGAAGUGACAACUGUGUUUCUGUGCCCUGUGAAUUUACUGGAAUAUUAUGGCAGAAUUGUGUAGCUACGUUUCCUCGUUGGGAUUUGGCAAAAAGAGACUUCCAAGAAAUUGAAAGUAAAAACUGUGACAUUGUUAUUAUCCUCAUCUUCAAUUAAGGCCAGGCACCUGAGGUAAAAACUUUUUAAGUUAUUUAAAUAUGGCAGAUAGGCAUCAAAAUUAACUCUUUGAUUA